GGGGGUGAAAUGGGUUCGACAGGAGACCUGAACCCUUCCGGCAGCAGGCGCGGUGUUGGUCGAAAGGCACCGCUUAAAAAAUCGACCGUGCACAAACGCCAACACUGAAAUGGCAAUGGCGGCCUAACAGCCGUCACGCGCCCCGUCCGACUUCCGAUAGGAUGGAUAGCGCGUCGAUAUCGGGAUAGUUUCACGCGCGCGCGUUUCGUCGCGCCUGGAGCGAAAAUCUAACGGAACUGGCCGUAGGGCGGUUCGGUCCGGUGACAGCCCUCCGGCGAGACCAACUCCGGAACAAGCCUGUAGAGACCGUAGGACUCAUCUUCUGGACGCGGGUUCGAUUCCCGCCACCUCCACCA
rnacentral:tmRNA from 1 species